GUCCCUGUAGCGCAAUUGAUAGUGCAUUGGACUUCCAAUCCAAUGGCCUUGGGUUCGUAUCCCACCUGGGAUG